GAGAGGAAGAGGGAGGGACCUGUCACUCCUCCCCCACUCCGGGAGAGAACUGUAUCCUUGGAAACUGAGAUGAGAUCUCCAACCGAUGUCAAUGAGUCAGGGAGGCAGGACAGGCUUACAAGCUUGGGAUAGGACAUAGCAACGUUCCUGUUGCCAGGUAACUACUUUAUUGGAUCACAGACGGGAGCAAGUGCUUGGAGAGGCGGCCAGUGAGAAGCGCCACAGGCAUGGAAUGGGCAUGAUCCUAGGCCUACAGUUUCUUUAGAGUGAAGCAGCAGAAAACACAAGAAUGGCACCACUCAGUGGACAGUGGCUGUGACCUUCAUGCAUCUUGCUCCACUAUCCGUCAGAAGAAGCCUUGGGCAGACUACCUAAAUCCUCAUUCCCCACUGGAACUACUGAAGCCUAAAUCUAACACACUACCUCAGCUUUUUGAACAUGUGGAAGACUCCCGUUUUAAGCCAGAUGUAACUGCUGUUCUUGUUACCCUUAAUGGAUUAAAAGUUCCUCUACACUUGUUUGAGCAAAACAAGGUUUGCCAUAAUAUUUCUUCAACAUUGUACGGAUAGCAAAACGGAUUCUCCAGGUUCGCUCAUGUUCAGUCAUUGUGAGACAAUAUAAGUUUAGAUAAACUUGUCCAGUAUCUGCUGCCAUUGUGGGACCUAGGCUUGAAAGAUAGGACAUGGAAUAGUCUGAAAUAAAAAGGAUUUUUGAAUUCUUGCAUUUCAGGGCCUGGAAUCCUUGACAUUCACUUGAAAGCGAGGCUUUAAAUGCUUUCCAGAUUGUUUGGUGAUUUAUACCACAAUCUGCGUUAAAAAAAACCUAAUUGAUUUACAAUGUGUUUAUUGUUUAAUAAAGAUGUGUUUAGUUUCCAUAAGUUUCUUUUCUUUUCCUUGUCCUCAAAUUGUAGCCACCCUCUGAUCCGGUUAUGAUCUGAUCAAAUUUUAUCUCCAGUAAAGGUAUUUUGUAAAUAUAGCUGCAGAAGGGCUGAGAUAUAAUCAAAUCUGGAGUAUGUUUGAUGUCUGUUUGAAUAAAAAGUAUAGUUUCUUUCCAGUGGAUGUAGUUCUCUCCAUGUGUCCAAUAAAUUGAAUUUUUUUUAGUCAAUUGUAUUAACAUAAUUUUGCCUUGGUGUUGAGGACGUUGACUUUCUUUGUUGGAGGUGUCCAGAACUGGGUUCCUUAAUGUGUUAAAAUUAAUCCAGUUUUUACUUUUCAUUUUUUGUAAUUUUUAAAAAGUGGUUUGAGGAACGAAUGUUUGGUAUUAGGGGCAUAAACUGAGCCCAGUAUCACAGGUUUAUCAAAUAAUGUGCCCUCUAUAAAGCUGUAACGUUCUGCUGGAUCAGCGUGCAUCUUAGAAAGUCUAAAAUGACAGUCUUUAGAGUACUUUAUUAUUUAAUAUAUUUU